GAGUUUGAUCAUGGCUCAGGAUGAACGCUAGCGGCAGGCUUAACACAUGCAAGUCGAGGGGUAUAGUUCUUCGGAAUUAGAGACCGGCGCACGGGUGCGUAACGCGUAUGCAAUCUACCUUUCACAGAGGGAUCGCCCAGAGAAAUUUGGAUUAAUACCUCAUAGUAUAACGACUCCGCAUGGAGAUGUUAUUAAAGUCACAACGGUGAAAGAUGAGCAUGCGUCCCAUUAGCUAGUUGGUAAGGUAACGGCUUACCAAGGCUACGAUGGGUAGGGGUCCUGAGAGGGAGAUCCCCCACACUGGUACUGAGACACGGACCAGACUCCUACGGGAGGCAGCAGUGAGGAAUAUUGGACAAUGGGCGCAAGCCUGAUCCAGCCAUGCCGCGUGCAGGAUGACGGUCCUAUGGAUUGUAAACUGCUUUUGCACAGGAAGAAACAACGCUACGUGUAGCGUCUUGACGGUACUGUGAGAAUAAGGAUCGGCUAACUCCGUGCCAGCAGCCGCGGUAAUACGGAGGAUCCAAGCGUUAUCCGGAAUCAUUGGGUUUAAAGGGUCCGUAGGCGGUUUAGUAAGUCAGUGGUGAAAGCCCAUCGCUCAACGGUGGAACGGCCAUUGAUACUGCUAGACUUGAAUUAUUAGGAAAGUACUAGAAU
rnacentral:rRNA from 1 species